rnacentral:pre_miRNA from 1 species
UGGAAGACUAGUGAUUUUGUUGUUGUGUUUGUAAAGGUGACAACAAAUCAUAGCCUGCCAUA